rnacentral:rRNA from 1 species
UACGGAGGGAGCUAGCGUUAUUCGGAAUUACUGGGCGUAAAGCGCACGUAGGCGGGUGGUUAAGUCAGGGGUGAAAUCCCGGAGCUCAACUCCGGAACUGCCUUUGAUACUGGCCAUCUAGAGAUCGGAAGAGGUGAGUGGAAUUCCCAGUGUAGAGGUGAAAUUCGUAGAUAUUGGGAAGAACACCAGUGGCGAAGGCGGCUCACUGGUCCGAUACUGACGCUGAGGUGCGAAAGCGUGGGGAGCAAACAGG